rnacentral:rRNA from 1 species
CAAGAGCGUAUAUUAAAGUUGCUGCGGUUAAAAGGCUCGUAGUUGGAUUUCAGUCUAGGAAGGUUAACUCGCCGAAAGGUUGUACGUUGAUUUUCCUCAGACUUCGUCAGAAGCUCGUGCUGCACUUAACUGUGUGGUACGAUGUUCUGACCUUUUACCUUGAGGAAAGUAGAGUGUUUCAGGCAGGCUACCCAGCUUGAAUACGUUAGCAUGGAAUAAUGAAAUGGAUCUCGGUUCGAUUUCGUUGGUUCUAGAGCUGAGGUGAUGAUCAAUAGGAACAGGCGAAGGUAUUCGUACUUGAGAGUGAGGAGUGAAAUCCGAUGAUCUCUUAAAGACGAUCCGAGGCGAAAGCAUUUGUCAAGGAUGUUUUCAUUGA